CAUUUAACGUUUUUUUUUUUUGGGAAAAGAAUUCCUCAAAUCGUGUUUUGCUGUUUUGUGUGCCCGUGCAUUCCACCAACUUGAUCGGCUGCCUCUUAACAGCAUUUUUUGAAUUACUGCAAAACCACCGCUGCACUCGUUUUCUCUUGCUUUGGUUCGCUGCCUGUGUACAUCUUGGUGCCAGCUGCGGAGAGUGGACCAACUUUUCG